AUUUUGUUGUGUCCAUACUUUUGACUGGUUCUGACGACCAGCUGUAUACCUGGGCUACCUUCGGCCUGCCCUCCCACAUCUGGGAGUCCCAUGAAGGGCAUACCCCAGGCCACAUCCAGGUCCUGUGGCCCCCUCCACAGCCAGCUCGGAAUUCGUCAAAGUCAGGGAAUCUGUGACAAAAGGAUAAUGGCAGUGAUAUUCCAGGGCUGGAGCAGACCAUCAAUGACUUGAGGAUAAAGAUUGCAGCACUGGAAAUCCAGCAUGCAUCUCUGGAGAUGGCAUUCCACUCUAAGGAGAGUGGGGAUAGGGACAAUACUGUGGCCUUGGGGGGUGUCAACCACACAUGGAAGAAGAGGAUGGAGAUUUCCGUACAGACAUCACCUGUGAAGGAGGGCUUUAGAUUUGAAGUGCCUUUCAAGGGAGGGUCAAUCCCCUCCUCAGCCUCUGUCCCACCAAUCUCCUCCUCCUCCCUCCCCAACCCUGGCUUUGUCUGUACCUGCCAACAGCAGCAGCAGAGUGGUACCCAGCCCCCACCUCCUCCCACCCCAGGUGUAUCCCCUCCUCCA